CGCAAACGCCCAAUAAACUGUCUUCAAGAUUAUAAUCCCCAUAUUUAUCAUCGAAUUUUUUCAGUCUUCCAUCGAUGAUAGCCGUAAAAAAUGGGUUACAGAGUUCGCAAGAGGAUCAAGAUUAAAUAAAAAGAUAACGUGCACCGAAUAAAUAUGAAUAGAGCACUAAACUCGAUCGCAAAAUCUCCAAUUCCCAGAAAACCUAAAAAAUCAUAACUAUUAAAAGAAUCAUUGAAGAGUGUGAUUGAAACAUCAUCAUUUUACCCAAGUGACCAGUGAAAAAUUAUUGCAACAUUGAUUCCAUAAAUCUCAGUCUCACCAAAUGAACAGUAUUAAUUAUUUGUACAUCGUGGUAUGAAUUAUGGACAAAUUGGCGAGGUUAUGACGACCGAUAGAAAGAAGGUCUCAAUGGAAAUGUCUCUCUGACGAAUGGAUUGUACUCGUUACAAUAGACAAUUUAUUAAUUUAAACAAAA